CGGGCGGCGACUACCAUGCAGUCGAACGGUAACAGGAAACAGCUUGCUGUUUCGCUGACGAGUGGCGGACGGGUGAGUAAUGUCUGGGAAACUGCCUGAUGGAGGGGGAUAACUACUGGAAACGGUAGCUAAUACCGCAUAACGUCGCAAGACCAAAGAGGGGGACCUUCGGGCCUCUUGCCAUCGGAUGUGCCCAGAUGGGAUUAGCUAGUAGGUGGGGUAACGGCUCACCUAGGCGACGAUCCCUAGCUGGUCUGAGAGGAUGACCAGCCACACUGGAACUGAGACACGGUCCAGACUCCUACGGGAGGCAGCAGUGGGGAAUAUUGCACAAUGGGCGCAAGCCUGAUGCAGCCAUGCCGCGUGUAUGAAGAAGGCCUUCGGGUUGUAAAGUACUUUCAGCGGGGAGGAAGGGAGUAAAGUUAAUACCUUUGCUCAUUGACGUUACCCGCAGAAGAAGCACCGGCUAACUCCGUGCCAGCAGCCGCGGUAAUACGGAGGGUGCAAGCGUUAAUCGGAAUUACUGGGCGUAAAGCGCACGCAGGCGGUUUGUUAAGUCAGAUGUGAAAUCCCCGGGCUCAACCUGGGAACUGCAUCUGA
rnacentral:rRNA from 1 species